GAUCAUGGCUCAGGAUGAACGCUGGCGGCGUGCUUAACACAUGCAAGUCGGAACGAAGCACUCUAUUUGAUUUUCUUCGGAAAUGAAGAUUUUGUGACUGAGUGGCGGACGGGUGAGUAACGCGUGGGUAACCUGCCUCAUACAGGGGGUAUAACAGUUGGAAACGACUGCUAAUACCGCAUAAGCGCACAACGGGAUCGCAUGAUCCGGUGUGAAAAACUCCGGUGGU
rnacentral:rRNA from 1 species